GACGAACGCUGGCGGCGUGCUUAACACAUGCAAGUCGAACGGGAUUUAGUAGACAGAAACCUCGGUGGAAGAUUACUAAUGAGAGUGGCGAACGGGUGAGUAACGCGUGAGCAACCUGCCUAUGACAGUGGGAUAGCCUCGGGAAACCGGGAUUAAUACCGCAUAAAAUCGUAGAAACACAUGUUUCAACGGUCAAAGAUUUAUCGGUCAUAGAUGGGCUCGCGUCUGAUUAGCUAGUUGGUGAGAUAACAGCCCACCAAGGCGACGAUCAGUAGCCGGUCUGAGAGGAUGAACGGCCACAUUGGAACUGAGACACGGUCCAAACUCCUACGGGAGGCAGCAGUGGGGAAUAUUGCACAAUGGGGGAAACCCUGAUGCAGCGACGCCGCGUGAACGAAGAAGGUAUUCGUAUCGUAAAGUUCUGUCCUAUGGGAAGAUAAUGACAGUACCAUAGAAGAAAGCUCCGGCUAAAUACGUGCCAGCCGCCGCGGUAA
rnacentral:rRNA from 2 species